GUAACCAGCCACUCGGGCUGCAAUGUGUGUGGUGUUGGUUCAGGUAAGAUGCCCUAGAAAGAGCCUAGAGGCUUUGCAAACACGGGCGCAGCAUGAAAGCCACAGAUCAGCGUUGAGGCCAAGUUCAAGGACGACUGCAGGGAAGCAGUUUCUUCCACCGAAUGCUGUAACUCAGUAAAAUGGGCCUGAGCCACUCCAAGACACGCCCCAAGGUGACAAAAGUGGCACCGGUGCAAACCAAAGAAGCUGUGCCAGCCUCCCCUUGCUCUGCGACCCUGUCUCGAUUUCACGGCGUUCUGGAAGAGAGGAGCUUGGGCUCCUUCGCAGCCAUGGAGGAGAGAAGCCCCAUGCUUCAAAGACAGCUCCCGCCUCUGAGAGAAACGUGGUAUGGGAGAUGCUCCACAGUGCCGAGGCCCAUUGCCUUUGACAUCAUGCCGGAAAAGGGAGAAACCAGUAUUAUUAAACAGCAUCCCCCUCGAAGACCUCAAAAGCUUGAACCUAUUGACCUGCCGCCAGUGAUCACUUCAGAGGCACGCUGGAGACCGCAAGAGCAGGAAGCAGCACAAAAAGCAAAGAACUGGGAGAAGAGAGUACAGGCCGUGACACACUCCACAGGAAGACGACAGCACUUGCACAAGCUGCAGAUGUUAGAAUUGAACCGCAAGCGACAAGAGGCAGAGAUGAAGCGAGGGCACCACAGGGAGGCAAAACUCAAACAAAAACCGGAAGAGCUGAAACCUGAGAAAGUGCAUGGGAGGAUCUGGAGGAACAAUAGCUCUGACAGCGAAGACCGGGUCCCUGUUGAGCCUGCUCUUCCUUACACCAAAGACCACAGGACUACGUGGGAUGGAGAAUUCCUAGAGCAAUGCCAAAUGUUUGAGUCUCAUCCAAGGCAAAGCAGUAAAGUGGAAAUGUGGUCCCUGAAACAACAGGCGGCAAAAGAGCUAUUUUGGGACAGCUCUAGCACGGACUCUGAGGACUGGAAAAAUGGGGAGAGAAAGCUGUAUCACAGACCAGGGCUUGUGAGGACCAAGACAGAGAGAAUCUCUCUCUUUGAUGAGUUCUUUGAUAAGCACUUCUAACUGCCAAGGGCCAGGAUGCGACCCUAGCUAUCCCCUGGGACAGCAGUUAUGUCACGAGGCUUUUAAACCCCCUAGCUGGAUACACUGAAGGCCCUUCUUGGAAAUCCCAGCCUCACUGGCCAGCCCAGGAUCAUAUGGAAAAGCUGUAGCAGAGCUUGAAAUCAAACUCUUUCAUCUUGAUUUCCAGCCCAGGGCCA